ACAAAUGGGAGUUUCAAAAUUUGUUGUAUAUAACCUGUUCUUACUAUUCUUCAUCGGCCAGUCAGUCUCAGGUUUUGACCAUUUGUGGAACUGCAGCACACACAUUGAAUUUGCUUCGAGAGAAAGCAACUGCCAUACUCUUUACCAGCUGCGCUCACCUGCGAGCGUGGAUAGCUUUUCCAUGGCACCCUCGGACAUGUCCCAAGUCCAUGCUCGAGGUGAUGAGCCUGCACCCCAGACACAGAGCGACAACUCUAGGCAAAACAUAAGCACCUUUGAUGCGGACAAUGGUGAAUUCCACUUUCUAGUAACCGGCGGCUAUCGUCCCGAAAAGGAUGACCUGGUUAAAUUUUUAGUUUCGGUACGACUUAAACAGAGAUCUAAAUUCUUUGGCGACGACCAUAUGUGUGGCGGCUGUUUAAUAUCUAAGACAGUUGUUCUAACAGCAGCCCAUUGUCUGGUUGAUGAAAGCGAAACGGUUCUACCUAGAAAUAAGUUAAAGGUAGUUGCAGGUACACCGCGUCGCCUAUUGAAGACAAGUAGGACCCAACAAAUAAAAGUGAAAAAGGUCAGGCCGCAUCCAGAGUUCUCCGCUGAAACACUGUCCAAUGAUAUUGGCAUUUUACUUCUCAAAAGCGAGAUGCAGCCAGAUGAAAAUUUUGUCGCUAUAAUACCCAUGGCGGGCGAGGAUCCCUCCGCUGGAUUAAAGUGCACAGUCAUUGGAUGGGGUGCUAUUUUUGAGAAUGGCCCAUUACCCGACGAGGCAGUCAGAGGCGAUUUGACUAUCCUUCCAAAUGAAUUUUGCUAUACAUUAAGCUUAUUUGAAAAAGGCAUGAUAUGUGCCUCGAACCCAAAGGAUUUCGAAGUGGACUCCUGCCAGGGUGAUUCGGGUGGACCGUUAAUAUGCGCAGGAAAAGUGGUGGGCGUCGUCUCCUUUGGCGAAGGCUGUGGCAAGCCGUUUUCCGCCGGCGUUUACGCUGAUGUAUACUACUAUCGUAAUUGGAUAGAGAAUAAUGCAGCAAAGUGCCCAUUGGCGUCCUGGUUUUGGCUUCUACUGAUCGCGCUGUUCCCAGAAAGGCCCAUUACCCGACGAGGUAGUCAGAGGCGAUUUGAGUAAGCAAUGCAGCAAGCUUGUGUGUGUGUGUGUGCGAGCGAGCGUGUGUUAGUGUAUGCUUUCAUAUCUUAUGAUGCCGCUGUGCUGCAAUAAAUAAAACGAAUUUCUACCAAGUGCUCUCCUCCUCGAUUCUCAAAAAUUCAAGUAGAUCUUGCUGAAAUUCAACAAGGCAGGAAACGUUUGGCGGUGGAGCAGGAGAAGGUGGAGCGGGUUAUUAUAUAUGUAUGUUUUUGUAUGUAUGUAUGAUUGUAUGUAUGUAUGUGUGUAUGUAUG
rnacentral:misc_RNA from 1 species